AAAGUAGUCUCAGUUCGGNUUGAAGGCUGAAAUUCGCCUUUAUGAAGCCGGAAUUGCUAGUAAUGGCAGGUCAGCAUACUGCCGUGAAUACGUUCCCGGGGCCUUGUACACACCGCCCGUCACACCAUGAGAGUUGGGAAUACCCGAAGCCUGUGAGCUAACUUUUAGAGGCAGCAGUCGAAGGUAGAAUCAAUGAUUGGGGUGAAGUCGUAACAAGGUACC
rnacentral:rRNA from 1 species